UUUUUUUUAUUCUUCUUCGUUGCUGUUUCUCUCGCAAAAAGAUUUAAAAAUGCCUAAUUUUCUGUCCAGGAUUAUAGUAAUCCUUGAAAGUUUUGUGCUGAAUUCUGAUGGUGAAAUGGUCGAUUGGAGAUUAAGCCACAAGAUACUUAAAAUUUAUUUCAAUCUUAGAGUUUGUGGUGAAGGAAGGUGAGCUGCCGCGAUAUGACCGUCGGCGGUGGGAAAAUUGGUCUGACAUAUAAAUCACUUCAAACUUCGAUUUAUGUUCAUAAAUCUAUUUGUUAGUGAUAGAUCUAUGGUUGUUUGUGAGAACUUAACAAACUGUAAGCAAAAAAGUGAAAAAUAAAAAAGAACUUUCAGAGAAA